rnacentral:rRNA from 1 species
AGAUCCUUGACAUCCUCUUACACGCCCUAGAAAUAGGGUUUCCCUUCCGGGCAAAAUGACAAGGGGGGCAUGGUUGUCUUCAGCUCGUGUCGUGAGAUGUUGGGUUAAGUCCCGCAACGAGCGCAACCCUUAAUUUUAUUUGCCAUCAUUAAGUUGGGCACUCUAUACUGACUGCCGGGGACAAACCGGAGGAAGGGGGGGACGACGUCAAAUCAUCAUGCCCCUUAUGAUUUGGGCUACACACGUGCUACAAUGGACAGGUUACAAAGGGCAGCGACCCCGCGAGGCCAAACGAAUCCCAUAAAACUGUUCUCAGUUCGGAUUGGAGUCUGCAACUCGACUCCAUGAAGCUGGAAUCGCUAGUAAUCGUAGAUCACCAUGCUACGGUGAAUACGUUCCCGGGUCUUGGACACACCGAUU